rnacentral:rRNA from 1 species
AUUGAACGCUGGCGGCAGGACUAACACAUGCAAGUCGAGCGAGCGGCGGACGGGUGAGUAAUGUCGGGGAAACUGCCUGAUGGAGGGGGAUAACUACUGGAAACGGUAGCUAAUACCGCAUACCAUCAGAUGUGCCCAGAUGGGAUUAGCUAGUAGGUGGGGUAACGGCUCACCUAGGCGACGAUCCCUAGCUGGUCUGAGAGGAUGACCAGUCACACUGGAACUGAGACACGGUCCGUACGCCUGCGGGAGGCAGCGGUGGGGACUAUGGCACAAUGGGCGGAAGCCUGAUGCAGCCAUGCCGCGUGUGUGAAGAAGGCCUUCGGGUUGGAAAGCACUUUCAGCGGGGAGGCGUUACCCGCAGAAGAAGCACCGGCUAACUCCGUGCCAGCAGCCGCGGUAAUAC